AAUCUACCUUUUCGUGGGGGAUAACGUAGGGAAACUUACGCUAAUACCGCAUACGACCUUCGGGUGAAAGCAGGGGACCUUCGGGCCUUGCGCGGAUAGAUGAGCCGAUGUCGGAUUAGCUAGUUGGCGGGGUAAAGGCCCACCAAGGCGACGAUCCGUAGCUGGUCUGAGAGGAUGAUCAGCCACACUGGAACUGAGACACGGUCCAGACUCCUACGGGAGGCAGCAGUGGGGAAUAUUGGACAAUGGGCGCAAGCCUGAUCCAGCCAUACCGCGUGGGUGAAGAAGGCCUUCGGGUUGUAAAGCCCUUUUGUUGGGAAAGAAAAGCAGUCGGCUAAUACCCGGUUGUUCUGACGGUACCCAAAGAAUAAGCACCGGCUAACUUCGUGCCAGCAGCCGCGGUAAUACGAAGGGUGCAAGCGUUACUCGGAAUUACUGGGCGUAAAGCGUGCGUAGGUGGUUGUUUAAGUCUGUUGUGAAAGCCCUGGGCUCAACCUGGGAAUUGCAGUGGAUACUGGGCGACUAGAGUGUGGUAGAGGGUAGUGGAAUUCCCGGUGUAGCAGUGAAAUGCGUAGAGAUCGGGAGGAACAUCCAUGGCGAAGGCAGCUACCUGGACCAGACACUGACACUGAGGCACGGAAAGC
rnacentral:rRNA from 1 species